CAUGCAAGUCGAGCGGCCGUAGCAAUACGGCAGCGGCAGACGGGAGAGUAACACGUGGGAACGCGCCCUUCGGUUCGGAAUAACUCAGGGAAACUUGGGCUAAUACCGGAUACGCCCUUACGGGGAAAGAUUUAUUGCCGAAGGAACGGCCCGCGUCCGAUUAGCUAGUUGGUGAGGUAAUGGCUCACCAAGGCGACGAUCGGUAGCUGGUCUGAGAGGAUGACCAGCCUCACUGGGACUGAGACACGGCCCAGACUCCUACGGGAGGCAGCAGUGGGGAAUAUUGGACAAUGGGCGCAAGCCUGAUGCAGCAACGCCGCGUGAGGGAUGACGGCCUUCGGGCUGUAAACCUCUUUUAGUAGGGAAGAAGCGAAAGUGACGGUACCUGCAGAAAAAGCACCGGCUAACUACGUGCCAGCAGCCGCGGUUAG
rnacentral:rRNA from 1 species